GCAUUGGUGGUUCAGUGGUAGAAUUCUUGUCUUUCGUACAGGAGACUCAGGGUUCUAUUCCUGGCCAAUGUA
rnacentral:tRNA from 1 species